AGCUCGGUGGUGUAGUGGUAGCACGCAUCCCUGUUGUGGAUGAAGCGUGGGUUCGACUCCCUCCUGAAGUCG